rnacentral:rRNA from 1 species
GACGAACGCUGGCGGCGUGCUUAACACAUGCACGUCGAGCGGAGCGGCGAACGGGUGAGUAACGCGUGAAUAACUGCCCCCCUCCCUGUGAUAACAGUUGGAAACGGCUGCUAAUACCGGAUAGUGGGGGAUGACUCGCGUCCUAUCAGCUUGUUGGUGGGGUAGUGGCCUACCAAGGCGACGACGGGUAGCCGGCCUGAGAGGGCGACCGGCCACAUUGGGCUGGGAUACGGCCCAAACUCCACCUGGAGGCAGCAGUGGGGAAUAGUGCACACUGGGGGAAGCCCUGAUGCAGCAACGCCGGGUGCGGGAGGACGGCCUUCGGGUUGUAAACCGCUUUCAGCCAUGACGCGGUAGUGGCAGAAGAAGCAACGGCUAACUACGUGCCAGCAGCCGCGGUAAUUC